AGUGCGUUUAUUAAGAUCACCUGUGUGCGCUCUACCAUUAGAAUUGGAAGGAACCGGAGAGAACAUGAUUAGGGAGGAUCUGCUUUGCGAAACUAGCCCCAAUUUUUCCCCUUUCUUUUCAACCCUAAAUUAUCUUUAAUCGGAAAAAUUUGACCCUAAUUUUCCCAAAUCCCCGGUUCUUGCACCACUGUAUUGUAUGCCUGUUUCUGCCUUUUUUUUUCGCUGUUAUUGUUGAAACGAGGGAUAUUUUGGGAUUACCCAAAACUGCAUUACCAAUACAAGAAAAGAAAUCCAAACCUCCCAAAGAAACUCAGAAAACCAGAUGGAAUUUCUCGCGAGUUGCGUUCUUUUACGUUUUCUUAUGCGCAUCUAUGAAACUUGUUGGGUGCGAUUUUAAUUGUGGGAGAUAUUGUAGGUUUAUGCACUUACGGGGGGAUUGGCACCUCUUAUGCCUUCCGUUGAUGUGAAUCAAUUGAAACGAAAAGCGCAAUCUAAGAAUGAGAAGAUUACAUGGUAAUGACUUCCUUUUACGAAUUCUGCUAGGAAGGACAAGUUGCAGCUUUAACAUUGGGUUAGAGUUGUAAAUGGUGUUCCACCUUCAGGUGAUUAUUCAUUUGCAAAAGUAUAACAAGUUCAUUGACGUGAUCAAGUACACUGAUGAGGAGUACAAGAAGUACCUGGUGGAUCCUCUCCUUACUUCUCUGUUUUCUGUCAAUAAGCAUAGACCAAGGAAGAGACGGAUCAAUUGUUUGAUAUGUGUGAAUGGUUUGAUCUCCGCUUCAUUGUGAUUGCCAAUAGAUUUCCAUCAUCAAAAAACUGUGGAAGAACUGAAGAAUCGUUUUUCAUCAUCAACCGGUUGGUUUCGGUUGGGUCAAUCGGUUUGUACGGUUUGAAUUGAUUUUUGCCCGGGCUUUUCUGAUACAAACGCGCCAAUCAACUUCAAACAUACGCAAUUGCCACUCCAUGAGCAAGGAUGCAUUUACUGCGCAUGUUAAGCUAUGUCCUUCGCACGCCAUCCCGCCAUAUUUGUACUUCCUCAACUGUUUCUUUAAACCAAAAGAUUAAUGGCUACAUACGUAACGGAAAUUUAAAUGAGGCGCAUAAAUUGUUCGACCAAAAUCCCAACUCAAGAAACGUUAUCUCGUGGAACUCAAUGAUCAAUGGGUACAUCAAAAUCCACCAAAUGCAACAAGCCCAGAAACUAUUUGAUGAAAUGCCCCAAAGAGACGUUGUCUCAUGGAACACUAUGCUUUCAGGAUUUCGAGAUGCACAAAAACCGCAAAAGGCACACCAGCAUUUCCUAGAAAUGAUGAGAAAAGGGCCGAGACCCAAAGAGCUCACCUUUGCUGUACUUGUUAGUGCUUUCUUGAAUACGAAGUUUGAUGUCUUAAUCCAACAACUUCAUUGUCUUGUUAUAUGCUCAGGGCUUAAUCUGAAUGUGUUUCUUGGGUCUACUUUAAUGAGGGGUUAUAUUGCUUUUGGUGAUUGUGAGGGUUUCUGUAGAGUAUUUGAUGAGAUUUUAGAGAAAGAUGUGGCUCCCUGGAAUGUGUUACUUUUGGGUUAUAUGGAAUUUGGGUUGAUAAAUGAAGCUCAGAGGGCUUUUAACACGAUGCCUGAGAAAAACACAUAUUCUUGGAGUACUUUGAUUAAUGGAUAUGCUAAAAAUAAAAAAGUUAAUGAAGCGCGAGAAGCUAUUGAUAAGCUGAGGAAAAAGGACGUCAUUUUAUGGACUGCGAUGAUAAAAGGGUAUGUGCAGGGUGAAAAGUUUGUAGAGGCUUUGGAGCUGUUUCUCUUGAUGAUGAACUCAGGGACUCGACCUAACCAUUAUAGACCUAACCAUUAUACUUUUCAAGUGUAUUAGAUGCUUGCACUGGCUGCUCUUCCCUUGUCAUGGGUAAUAAAGUUCAUACAUGUAUCUUAAAGUUUGGAUGUCCGCUUGAUGUGAUUCUAGCAACCUCCCUUGUCGACAUGUAUGCAAAAUGUGGGGACAUAGAUGCAUCGUGUGAGAUGUUUGAGUCAAUGUUGACAAAGAAUUUGGUGUCAUAGAAUUCAAUUAUAGGAGGUUAUGCAAAACAUGGUGUCAAGGACCGCAGCUUUACUUAGCCCCUUGACACUAUCGCAGCCGCAGUUUGCCCAACUUCGGC